UAAAGCCUGUUAUUUAUAGCUUAUACUUUAUUUGCAAAAUCUUCAAAAUCCAGACAUAAAACUCAACAGUUACGUUCAAGGUAGGAUGAUGUGGUAUGUCACAUUAUUUUGGGGUUGUAUGUUUGACACCAUAAUUCAUCACUAGCUGAUGUGUUUGAGUUCUAACGUCACAAAGGCAGCGCGGUGAAACAUCACAAUAUUGCACCGAUGAAUCCUGUUGCUGUACUUUAUUUAAUGCACAUAUUAUGUUUUCUCUCAGAUUAGAGGACAUCAGCAUGUUAAGGUACACACAAACAAGCUGCUCUGGAGACAAAGUUCGGUCAGAGAGAAAUGUUUACGGGUUCCCAAACUUUUUCUCAUCAAGGAUCCCCAAAGUGACACAAAUCCUUGGACCAUGAAACCAUUUGGUAAGAUUUUGUCCCAGGGUCCCCAAAUGCUUCUCAUGCUCUCCAUCUUUAGUCCACGUGUGACGACAAAAUACAAUCCCGAGAUGUUUUGCAUUGGGGCUAACAGGAAUAUCAAAAUAGCUGCUACAUCGUGUCCCUUCCUUCAGUUUGCUGGAGUUUCAGAGGAAGCUCUGUGGCCUAAAUCUUGCGUGUCUUUAAAUACAGUGCAGAGCCAAAGAGCGCUGAAGUAUAUCCACGCGUGAUUGUCCUUCCAGCACAACCUGUGAGCCAGAAAUUUGCCCAUCGGGCAAUAGCAUGGUCAGCUAUACCCCUGAGGACCCUUUUCAUUCUCCUGGCUGUGGUGAAUGCAUCAAUACAACACAUACUCUGAUGUUUUGGCAGCAGAACUUGAUGGCGUUUCGACAUUUAUGCCAGAAUCCCAUGCACACUUGUAAACAAUCGGGUUUUGAUUAAGAAGGAUUAUUAGGGCUGUGUACUGUAAACAACCUUUAUGGGUUUACUGGCUUUUUGUGCAUGACUGAGCAGCAUCUGCACUCGGCCACUGCCACCAAGUUGCAUACAUUGCUGCCUGUUCUUCAUCAUACUUCUUGCCAUGUGAAAUGCAUUUUGGGUGUGGCAAGUAUUGCCCCAAAGUUGAACUCGGUACACAUUCACAUAUCCUGCGUGACUGCACAGUUUCCUAGUAUGAUCACGUCCCACUACAUUUGUAAACACGGUAUGGCCUCUGUGUUCCAAAGAUGAUGUAUCGGAACAGUGACAAGAAUUCUGGGUUUACUGGAAUGUAGUCUUUUAAAUGUAAUCAUGUCUGGGCUGCAAUUAAAGUUUGGACAACUGAGUGGUUCAUAUGUCAUUUUUUAUCACUUGUUUUUUUACUUGCACAAUGGAUGAAUUCCGUAUCGCCACUUGUACAGAUUAGAUCAGGAGAAAUCAGACAGGAAGAAGGAAAAACACGCACUGUAAUAACCUUGUCAUGCCACAAAGACAUUAAAAAACAAGUUAGAAACCAUUUUAAGGCUUUAACUUGGAUAAGAAAUCAGGAUUCUCCAGCAGAAGUCUGUGCUAACCAGAUUUCUCUUAAUCCUUUACCACAUUACGGAAACCAGAGUGUCAUCUUUUAUUUUCCCUCUCCGAAGCCUGGAGUAUGUACACACUCGGGUCACUUCCUACACCGUGAACUUUAAACAACUCAUGCGAAUGGCAUGGUAAACAAAGCCACCAGCACCCUCAUUCAUAAUCAUAAAGUUCAGUGUCUUGUGUUAUGACACAGCCUUGAGUAAACUGCUGGAUUGGGGCUGCACCACCCUGUGUGGGCGGCACGGUGACACAUCACCGUUAGGAAGUGAUAAAGUGACCACAUGUGAGUCAUUGGACUUCACUGCAGGGCGGUGCGACAAUAAAGACCGAUCAAAGAGGCUCAAGAUCCACCACUGUUCACAUGAACACUGACUCAUCCAACCUGUGAGCAGUGAGCAUUACAGUGUCUUGCAACUACGCUGAUGGACACACACUUGACCCGACAGGUUAGCUGGUCAUCCAUGAGGCCAGAAUACUUCCCAAAAGGCCUCUGAAUAUUUCUUUGAAAUAAUCCAACUCUUGAUUCCUGACCUGUGGUCUCUGCCGCAGCAACUCCUGUUGCUUCAGUCGCAGCCUUUCCUUCUCCAUCUGCUGCAGUCUCAUCUGAUUGUUGCCUCCCAUGACUCCGCCAUGGGUGCUGGGAGGCAUCUGUCCUCCCUGCUUUACUGGAGCACUCUGGGUGAUCCUCUGCUGGUUCAGAGCUGGAAGAGACAGAAAGGAGUUCAAAUCAGUCACCAUCACAUGCAGCGCUCACUUUAAACUUUACAUACUGAGAAUCUAAGUGGCAAAUUGAAGUUUAGAUACAAAGAAAUGGUCUGGGGAAACCAGAGCGGAGGAGGAGGAGGAUCUUAAACUGGUGAUUUCAGCUUUGCCUGAACACAAUAGUUGCUGCUACUCCAUCCUGUUGGGAAACGUUCAAACCAAAGGGCAAAAUUUAUUUCAGGCAAGCAGGAAAAAUCUUCUGUAAGUGAAAUGGAACACCUUUGUCUGUGCCGCUUUAACAUUACAGGAUUUCCUGCAGACCAUAAACACACUCAUGUCUCCGUGAUUACGCCUCUUAAUGCUUGGCUGCAUUUAAACGCUGCACAACAAGACUGACAACUUUAGCGUUU